AGUGAACGCUGGCGGUGGGCCUAAUACAUGCAAGUCGAGCGAAAGCACGGUAAGAGCUCGCCCCUACGGGUAGCGACGGACGGACGGGUGAGGCAUACAUAGGAAACCUCUAUUACUGGGGGGAUAUCGUGGGGAAGCUGCUGCUAAUACAGGAUAUGAUCUACGGGAGAAUGCAGGAGUGAAUCGGGGUUUUGGUGAUAGAAUGAGAUGGUUCCGCAUUGGCUAGUUGGCGGGGUAAGGGCACACCAAGGCAACGAUCCGUAGCCGAUCUGAGAGGAUGAUCGGCCACACUGGAACUGAGACACGGUCCAGACUCCUACGGGAGGCAGCAGUAGGGAAUCUUGGGCAAUGGGCGCAAGCCUGACCCAGCCACACUGCGUGAGUGAUGAAGGCCUUCGGAUCGUAAAGCUCUUUUGUUGGGGAAGAAAAGCAGCAUGUUUAUACGCCGAUAUUCUGACGGUACCCAAAGAAUAAGCACCGGCUAACUUCGUG
rnacentral:rRNA from 1 species